rnacentral:lncRNA from 1 species
GGGUGUCCUAUGAUCAUUUUGGUCAAGGGGAUGAAUUAUAUGAAAACUAUAUCCGCAUGGGUUCUAAGGAUGUUGUUCUACACAUUUGACCUAUCCGAUCGUCGGGUACCAUUGCUAGAUGGUCACUUUGAUUGGUACAGAAAUUUGUUCCUAUGCUACCGACUUAGAUUCAGACCUAUGAGGUCACACACAUUAGAGUUCUUGAUCCGAUCGGAUGGUUGAUCAAUGAUUAAGAAUCAUUCUAGGGUUAAAUGAUCAAUACGAUUGACAUUUAACCCAGUGCAAGUGUUGCAGGAGGAUCGAUUAGCAAUUUGAUUGCUAAUUGGCUUAAUUUGAUUAAGCCAAUGGUCUGAGAUUAAGUCUAAUUAAAUAUGAUUUAAUUAGAUUUAGUUUGGGCUUGAUUGGAUCAAGUCCAAUUACUUUAUUGGAUAAGCCAAGUGCAAGGAAAAACUAGUCCUAGUUCAACUAGGACUUGGGUCAAUCUAAUUUCUAAUUUGAUUAGAAAAUUAAAUCAGAUUUAAAUCUAAUAUAAUCUGAUUAAAUUAAGUUCUUAAUUGGGUUAAGACCUAUUUUAAUUAGGUUGAUCUAAUU